rnacentral:rRNA from 1 species
UACGUAGGGUGCGAGCGUUUGUCCGGAAUUAUUGGGCGUAAAGAGCUCGUAGGCGGUGUGUCACGUCGGCCGUGAAAACUUGCAGCUUAACUGUGGGCGUGCGGUCGAUACGGGCAUCACUGGAGUUCGGCAGGGGAGACUGGAAUUCCUGGUGUAGCGGUGAAAUGCGCAGAUAUCAGGAGGAACACCGCGGCGAAGGCGG